CUUAAAAAGUUAUAACCACGAAUAACAUUAUUUGCACCAUUUCUGUUCUUUAAAACAAAAAUAAAAGAAGAGAGCUCGAUGCAUGAAUUUGGGCAAACAUUGAACCCUAAAAUCUUUUCAUUCUUUGAAGACUGUUGGAGAAGCUUUGUAGUCGACAUGCAUGGACAUUUUUGAGCAAACUAGGUCUUUGAAAUGGACUUUAACUGGACAUUGAGUGGUAUUGAUGAAAUGAGAGCGUAAGCAACUAAAGAUGAACGAGUAGAUGAAGACUCAACCACUGCUUCAAGCUCAGACUCGUCAUUCCAGGCAAUGACGGGUCACCCUACUGCCACAUUCAUUAUUUCAUUUUAUUUUAUAGUUUUUCUUCAAGAUUACAUUAGAAUGUAUGUCUAUAGCUCUGUUAGCUAUUCCCACAGCUUGUGUGGGACACCUUACACAUUUUUUUUGUAAUAAAAAGCAUUUUCUAUGCCAUCUUUUGUUA